UCUCUCUCUCUCUCUCUCUCUCUCUCUCUCUCUCUCUCCCCCCCUCUCUCUCUCUCUUUGUGGAUGUGUUCCAGCGUGGUGCCCUUGGUGGGUGCCUCUCUUCAGAAGCCUGUAAGGGAGUAUCAGGAGGCCCAGCGUGCGAAGCUCCACCAUCGGGCGGGAGAGGGCACUCCAGCUCAAGGCUGUGCGCGGUGGGAAAGACUGCCCGGACUUAUAAGCACCGCUUCGCUAAAAGAGUCCCUCUCCUCUGCUUCUCCUCUCGGCAGCCACUCCUCUCGCUGGCAGGGUAAGUCGAUGCUGGCAGGUUGAUGCACGAUGUGCUCCUUCGACAGAUGUGUGUGUGUGUGUGUGUGCGUGUGUGGUUUUUUUGUUUCUGUUUUCAGUCGUACUCCCAGCCUGUCAGAUAGCUUAUCAGACUGGUGUUGGCUGUUAAAUUGCAUGGCGACAACAGUCUGUAGGCUGUCUGACAUUUUGGGCUCUCUCAUCGACCGGCAUCUUUUUUUGUGUGUGUGUGUGUCUCUGUAUUUGUUUAGGGGAUUUGAAAGGGUUAUCAUUUCUGUCUUCAUUGUAUGUCAUUUAGUCAUUGUUGUUUAUGUAAUAUAAUGACAUGUAUUAUACACACAUUUCAGAUGGAUUGCUUUUGGCCAGACAUUAUCAUUUUUGUCUUAUUUUUGUGAAUGUGUAAAAUAACAGCCAUGCCAGUGUCACCAUUCUUUUAGUCUGUCCCAUUUAAAAAAUCUCUGAAUUUACCUGUGGAUACAUGUGGCAGUAAAUGAGCAUGCUUUUGUGUGUGUGUGUGUGUGUGUGUGUGUGUGUGUGUGUGUGUGUAUGUGACUCAGUUCUCCACAGUAUUACUGUCUUCCCGUUAAUACAGGCUUCUGUGUGUAUUUCCGGGGUUUGGCUCAGUCCACUUGAAUUUCCUGAGAAUCCAGAGAUCACACACACGCACCCACGUACGUGCGCGCGCGCGCACACACACAUAGACACACAUACACACCUUAUUGCAACAUGCAGCGAUGGCAGAGAAUCGGUGAGGUGCUCGCAGCCGACUCCCUCCCCCUGCCUUCCCCUUACUCAUUGGCUGCUAGCCAGUCUUGCUCUUUUUUGGUUGUUGUUGUUAUGGCCUAUAGGGUUACCUUUUUAUUAAAAUGAUAAUAUUCUUCAUUAUUAUUAUUGUUUUAUUAUUAUUAUUAUUAUUAUUAUUAUUAUUAUUAUUAUAGUUGUUGUUGUUAUUAGUGGUAUUAGUAUUUGUAUUAGUAGUAGUAGUAGUACUAGUAUUAUUAUAUGUUUGGACUAGUCUGCUUGGCUCAAUCACUCAGGGAGUAUGUUUUCCAGUGUAGUUUUCAGAACAUCCUGUUCUGUGAGGAAGCCCCCUUUCAUAUUUUUUUUUAAAAAUACUGUUUAUUUGCAAUGAAUGUGCUGACUCUUUUUUUCCUCAAAUAAAGUCCCAGACACCGAAA